GACGAACCGAGCGAACGUUGUUCGGAAUCACUGGGCUUAAAGGGCGCGUAGGCGGCUUGCCAAGUCCGGGGUGAAAUCCUCCAGCUCAACUGGAGAAGUGCCUUGGAUACUGGCGAGCUUGAGCGAGGUAGGGGCGGGUGGAACUUCCGGUGGAGCGGUGAAAUGCGUUGAUAUCGGAAGGAACGCCGGUGGCGAAAGCGACCCGCUGGACCUCUUCUGACGCUGAGGCGCGAAAGCUAGGGUAGCGAACGGG
rnacentral:rRNA from 1 species